GCGGGCGUGGCGGAAUCGGUAGACGCCGGGGACUUAAAAUCCCCUGUCCCUUGUGACGUGCGGGUUCGAGUCCCGCCGCCCGCA
rnacentral:tRNA from 2 species